UUUUUUUUUUUUUUUUUUGUCUUUUAGCUAUUUCUUGGGCCGCUCCAGCGGCAUAUGGAGGUUCCCAGGCUAGGGCUCCAAUUGGACCCCUGGCUUGGGAACUCCCUAUGCCGAGGGUGAGGCCCCAAAAAGCCAAAAAAAAAAAAAAAAGAAAAGAAAAAAACCCCAAAAAAACAAACCCCCCAAACCCCCAAAACAAACAAAAAAACUUCCCUCUGUGGGAAAAGUUUUAUUAUUUUAUGUUACAUUUAAUUUUGGCCAUACUUACUAAUGGAUAGCACUUAAAAAAACACAGGUACCUAGUAAUCAAAGGUUCCUAAAGGCAGCAAAACUAGUCCAGAGAGGACUCUAGCAUCUUAAAUGUUUUGUGGUAGUUUUGGUAUUUGGGAUUUGAUUUGGUCUCUAAUACUCUCCUAACUAUAAUUAAAUAGGUGAACAUAUAGUAAGCAAGAUAAGAGUCAAUUUAUAAGAAUUUAAUUGUUAUGAAGUAGAAAGAACAGAGAAAAACAGCCAAGGAGUUUCAAGAUUUGCUGAGGACAGAGUAGCAGUAAGUUUUUAAAGAGCAUGUUUUUUAGGAGGAAAGCUUUGAUGCUAAAUGUGGUACAAUAAUGGUACACUGGUAAGCAGAAUGCUGGGAUUUAACGUGGAAAAGCUCAUUUUUGAUAGCUAUUAAUAAACACUUUUUACAUGAAUGUAGAAUGCAUAAUAAAUUCAUGGUACAUACAGAGAAAUCCUUACAGGGAGGGUCAAAUGUAUCAAAUAAGCCACUUGCAUUUUUAAUGUAUUGCUCUGUGUUUGUUUUGUAAUUUAUUAUAAACAAAAGACCUACCUGGUUGAAGACUUGGAAUUGUGUCACUGAAUCAUUCUAAAAACAAAACCAUUCCUAAGGAGAGCAACAAACCCUUUCCUAGAGAUAUUGAAGCAUCAUCCAGUAGUUAGCCUGUUCACUACACAGCAGCAUAGCAUAGGUAUAAUAUAGCAUACAUCAAACUGCUAUGUCUAAUAUGGAUGCUACUGUAAAUAUGAUCAGCAUAGACCAACAUAUUCAUAACAUAUUUUUCCACUGGAAUAAGCAAAAAUUUUAAUUUCUACUUCAAAAAUAUAAAUUUACUGUGGCUGCCAUGUAAUUCUGUAUUAUGACCAAUAAAUGAGAUAUAUCAGUGAAAAUAAUUAAGUAGCUACUUUUUUGUUACAGAUUUCUGACUUGAUUUUGUAUAUAUUCCUCAGUGUUAAAUACAUCUCCAAAGAGGAGGGAGAUAAAAUUUAUAUAUAUCUUGUAUAAAAUCUAGUGUUUUCUAGAGCUAGAAUGUUUUUGUGCAAUUAAAAAUAAAAUAAGCAUACAUAUGCUUCUGAUAUACAGGUCUCAGACAUUAUAUCAUGGUUUACUUUGAAUACAACAAUAUUUUAGCAUUUAUACAGGCUAUUCCUUAAGCCCAGUGUUUGCUGUUUGCUUCUUAAAUAUUUCACACACCAGACAUAAAGCCUUGUAAUAACAUAUGGAGUGUAUAGAUAAUUGUAAGGGGCUGGGGCUAGAUGGGGUUGAAAUUCAGGUUUGACUGACUCUUGAGUUAGUGCUCUUGAUCUACAAUGCUGUGUUGCCUCCUUAUGUGCUAAAAAUAUUAUAUUGUUUCUCAAUAUUAUUAAAUAUAUAAUCCUUUCAUGAAAGGAAAAAAUCUUAUGGCAAAAUCUUGUGAAAUUAUCUUCUAUUUUGAAAGUAAACAUUAAUUUUGACAUGUCAGAGCAUGUGAACGCAAUUUUUGUGACACAAUUUUUGUGACGUAGCAGAAACAUGCUGAAAGUUUUUCUUCGUAUAUACUAGAAUGUAUCUCC
ensembl:lncRNA